GAGGGUGUAGCUCAGAGUUUGAGCACGUGCUUAGCAUGCACAAGGUCCUGGGUUCAAUCCCCAGCACUUCCA
rnacentral:tRNA from 1 species